rnacentral:rRNA from 1 species
AGAGUUUGAUCAUGGCUCAGAUUGAACGCUGGCGGCAUGCUUUACACAUGCAAGUCGAACGGUAACGCGGGGGCAACCCUGGCGACGAGUGGCGAACGGGUGAGUAAUACAUCGGAACGUGUCCUGAGGUGGGGGAUAACCUAUCGAAAGGUAGGCUAAUACCGCAUACGCUCGGGAGAGGAAAGCGGGGGAUCGGUAACGACCUCGCGCUGCAGGAGCGGCCGAUGUCCGAUUAGCUAGUUGGUGGGGUAAAGGCUUACCAAGGCGACGAUCGGUAGCUGGUCUGAGAGGAUGAUCAGCCACACUGGGACUGAGACACGGCCCAGACUCCUACGGGAGGCAGCAGUGGGGAAUUUUGGACAAUGGGGGCAACCCUGAUCCAGCCAUGCCGCGUGAGUGAAGAAGGCCUUCGGGUUGUAAAGCUCUUUCGGUGGGAACGAAACGGUUACCACUAACACUGGUGACUACUGACGGUACUCACAGAAGAAGCACCGGCUAACUACGUGCCAGCAGCCGCGGUAAUACGUAGGGUGCGAGCGUUAAUCGGAAUUACUGGGCGUAAAGCGUGCGCAGGCGGUGGCUCAAGCCAGGCGUGAAAUCCCCGGGCUUAACCUGGGAAUGGCGUUUGGGACUGGGUCGCUAGAGUGUGGCAGAGGGAGGUGGAAUUCCACGUGUAGCAGUGAAAUGCGUAGAGAUGUGGAGGAACACCGAUGGCGAAGGCAGCCUCCUGGGCCAGCACUGACGCUCAUGCACGAAAGCGUGGGGAGCAAACAGGAUUAGAUACCCUAGUAGUCC